rnacentral:rRNA from 1 species
CUAUCCAUCUACUUUACAUAACAAUUUAGUAACAAAUGUAGUCUUAUUAUAACAUAAUAAAACUUUCAACAACGGAUCUCUUGGCUCUCGCAUCGAUGAAGAACGCAGCGAAAUGCGAUAAGUAAUGUGAAUUGCAGAAUUCAGUGAAUCAUCGAAUCUUUGAACGCACCUUGCGCUCCCUGGUAUUCCGGGGAGCAUGCCUGUUUGAGUGUCAUGAAAACCCUCAACCUUAGAUUGGUUAACACCUUUCUUUGGCUUGGAUUUGGACGUUUGCCGAUGAUAAGUCGGCUCGUCUUAAAAGUAAUAGCUGGAUCUGUCUCGCGACAUGGUUUGACUUGGCGUAAUAAGUAUUUCGCUAAGGACAUCUUCGGAUGGCCGCGUUGCAAGACUAAAGACCGCUUUCUAAUCCAUUGAUCUUCGGAUUAAUAUUCUUGACAUCUGGCCUCAAAUCAGGUAGGACUACCCGCUGAACUUAAGCAUAUCAAUAAGCGGAGGAAAA